rnacentral:rRNA from 1 species
AGCUCCAAUAGCGUAUAUUAAAGUUGUUGCGGUUAAAAAGCUCGUAGUUGGAUUUCUGCUGAGGACGACCGGUCCGCCCUCUGGGUGAGUAUCUGGCUCGGCCUGGGCAUCUUUCUGGAGAACGUAUCUGCACUUGACUGUGUGGUGCGGUAUCCAGGACAUUUACUUUGAGGAAAUUAGAGUGUUUCAAGCAGGCAUACGCCUUGAAUACAUUAGCAUGGAAUAAUAAUCUUAGACCCUGUUCUAUUUUGUUGGUUUCUAGAACUAGGGUAAUGAUUAAUAGGGAUAGUUGGGGGCAUUUGUAUUUAACUGUCAG